ACGUCCGAGUUACGGGCGGCUAUAUCUUGUGUAUUAUUUGUGAUUUUCCCAUCAUGGAAAUUUACUAGCGACAGAGGGUUGAUCAUCACAUCGACGCCUACGUGCUGAUCCGAGGGGGUCAUUAUUUUCGUUUGUGUAUUUUCGUACACAGGUGAAAAUUAUCUUGAAGGUUGCGAGGAGGAACAAGGGGGAAAACUGUUGAUCAAGCAUCGCAGUGAAAGAUCGGGCCAUCUACACGCGUGAAUUAGCAUCUCGCUAGUCCGCGCCUCAUCAACAAGUCCUUUCAAACACCUAAAUGUCAAUACCGAAAGGUUUAAAUUUGCCAUAGUGAUGAUUUAACCCUUCUCCCAUGUAUGCAUGUUUGUAGGAUUUCUAUACAUGCAUUGAUGGUCAGAAGGAUCGUGCAAAUGUGGUGAUUGAGAAUAUUGCCAAGAAACUAGUCCACGACAUGCACUAUGAGGAGCGCGUCCAGUUAGUGGUCAAGUAUCACGCGGACUAUCUCAACCAUAGGAUUUCCAAACAGAAGGCUCGAGGGACGCAUCUUUCACGGGACAAUUACUUCAAGGCAAGUGACGAUGGAUGCUUGCUAUUCCCUACCUUGCCGCAAAAUUAGAAUCCUUACUAAGAUGUAUUUGUUUAAUUUACAAGUGAUUCCUUGGUGGUGCGCUGACAAACGCCCGUGCUGGGAGAAGAUCGUCGAACGGUGGACAGAUCCAGGGUGGCAGGAUUAACACAAAGCAAUAUCUAAAUGGCGUAAGUUGAUGGGGGUCGAGGACACCGUCAAGGCAACCUCACCAUCCCAGGUGUCGUCUCAAAACAUACACUGGCAAGGAUAUCACUUACUUCGAGGCAUGGACCAUCAAAUGUACCAAAGACGACAAGGACAAGGACCCUGUCCACCCGGAGAGGGACUGGAUCAGCUCUAAAGCCGGUCAGAUGGAGAGAAAUACACCAAAAAAUUGAAGGAGACGUAUGGGCCUGACGUUGAUCCUCACGUGCUACCGUUUGACCCUCUUGUGGCCAUUGCCGUGGCAGGCGGUAGACCGAAUGGCCGGAUGGCGGUUCACCUCGAUUCUGUCAUAACCUCCUCCCUUUCGAGAGUCAACACGCUCCGUGCUAUGAGUACUGGCUCUACUCCUACCGUAGAGCGUCACGUACCACAUUCCGUGAGCAUUAUUAAGGAUAUUCAGACUCGACUGAUUGACACCAAGAAAGAACGAGAUGAAAACCGGGCCAAGCUGAAGGCACAAGAUGAUCUAGUGAAGUCUUUACAACAUAUGGUGGCCAAUCUUUAUUCCAUGCAAGGCCAACCAGUGCCAGAGAUGCCACCGAUG